CUACAGAGGGUGCGAGCGUUAAUCGGAAUUACUGGGCGUAAAGCGCGCGUAGGCGGCUUAUUAAGUCAGAUGUGAAAUCCCCGGGCUCAACCUGGGAACUGCAUCUGAUACUGGUAAGCUAGAGUUUUGGAGAGGGAAGUAGAAUUUCAGGUGUAGCGGUGAAAUGCAUAGAGAUCUGAAGGAAUACCAGUGGCGAAGGCGACUUCCUGGCCAAAAACUGACGCUGAGGUGCGAAAGCGUGGGUAGUAAACGGGAUUAGAAACCCCAGUAGUCC
rnacentral:rRNA from 1 species